CACGUAGGCGGAUAUUUAAGUUAGAGGUGAAAUCCCAGGGCUCAACCCUGGAACUGCCUUUAAUACUGGGUAUCUCGAGUCCGAGAGAGGUGAGUGGAAUUCCGAGUGUAGAGGUGAAAUUCGUAGAUAUUCGGAGGAACACCAGUGGCGAAGGCGGCUCACUGGCUCGGUACUGACGCUGAGGUGCGAAAGCGUGGGGAGCAAACA
rnacentral:rRNA from 1 species